GACGAACGCUGGCGGCGUGCCUAAUACAUGCAAGUAGAACGCUGAAGAGAGGAGCUUGCUCUUCUUGGAUGAGUUGCGAACGGGUGAGUAACGCGUAGGUAACCUGCCUGGUAGCGGGGGAUAACUAUUGGAAACGAUAGCUAAUACCGCAUGAAAUGGAUUAUCGCAUGAUAAUUCAUUGAAAGGUGCAAAUGCAUCACUACCAGAUGGACCUGCGUUGUAUUAGCUAGUUGGUGGGGUAACGGCUCACCAAGGCGACGAUACAUAGCCGACCUGAGAGGGUGAUCGGCCACACUGGGACUGAGACACGGCCCAGACUCCUACGGGAGGCAGCAGUAGGGAAUCUUCGGCAAUGGACGGAAGUCUGACCGAGCAACGCCGCGUGAGUGAAGAAGGUUUUCGGAUCGUAAAGCUCUGUUGUAAGAGAAGAACGAGUGUGAGAGUGGAAAGUUCACACUGUGACGGUAUCUUACCAGAAAGGGACGGCUAACUACGUGCCAGCAGCCGCGGUAAUACGUAGGUCCCGAGCGUUGUCCGGAUUUAUUGGGCGUAAAGCGAGCGCAGGCGGUUAGAUAAGUCUGAAGUUAAAGGCUGUGGCUUAACCAUAGUACGCUUUGGAAACUGUUUAACUUGAGUGCAAGAGGGGAGAGUGGAAUUCCAUGUGUAGCGGUGAAAUGCGUAGAUAUAUGGAGGAACACCGGUGGCGAAAGCGGCUCUCUGGCUUGUAACUGACGCUGAGGCUCGAAAGCGUGGGGAGCAAACAGG
rnacentral:rRNA from 1 species